AAAUUGAAGAGUUUGAUCAUGGCUCAGAUUGAACGCUGGCGGCAGGCCUAACACAUGCAAGUCGAGCGGUAGCACAGAGAGCUUGCUCUCGGGUGACGAGCGGCGGACGGGUGAGUAAUGUCUGGGAAACUGCCUGAUGGAGGGGGAUAACUACUGGAAACGGUAGCUAAUACCGCAUAAUGUCGCAAGACCAAAGUGGGGGACCUUCGGGCCUCAUGCCAUCAGAUGUGCCCAGAUGGGAUUAGCUAGUAGGUGGGGUAACGGCUCACCUAGGCGACGAUCCCUAGCUGGUCUGAGAGGAUGACCAGCCACACUGGAACUGAGACACGGUCCAGACUCCUACGGGAGGCAGCAGUGGGGAAUAUUGCACAAUGGGCGCAAGCCUGAUGCAGCCAUGCCGCGUGUGUGAAGAAGGCCUUCGGGUUGUAAAGCACUUUCAGCGGGGAGGAAGGCGGUGAGGUUAAUAACCUCACCGAUUGACGUUACCCGCAGAAGAAGCACCGGCUAACUCCGUGCCAGCAGCCGCGGUAAUACGGAGGGUGCAAGCGUUAAUCGGAAUUACUGGGCGUAAAGCGCACGCAGGCGGUCUGUCAAGUCGGAUGUGAAAUCCCCGGGCUCAACCUGGGAACUGCAUUCGAAACUGGCAGGCUAGAGUCUUGUAGAGGGGGUAGAAUUCCAGGUGUAGCGGUGAAAUGCGUAGAGAUCUGGAGGAAUACCGGUGGCGAAGGCGGCCCCCUGGACAAAGACUGACGCUCAGGUGCGAAAGCGUGGGGAGCAAACAGGAUUAGAUACCCUGGUAGUCCACGCUGUAAACGAUGUCGAUUUGGAGGUUGUGCCCUUGAGGCGUGGCUUCCGGAGCUAACGCGUUAAAUCGACCGCCUGGGGAGUACGGCCGCAAGGUUAAAACUCAAAUGAAUUGACGGGGGCCCGCACAAGCGGUGGAGCAUGUGGUUUAAUUCGAUGCAACGCGAAGAACCUUACCUGGUCUUGACAUCCACAGAACUUAGCAGAGAUGCUUUGGUGCCUUCGGGAACUGUGAGACAGGUGCUGCAUGGCUGUCGUCAGCUCGUGUUGUGAAAUGUUGGGUUAAGUCCCGCAACGAGCGCAACCCUUAUCCUUUGUUGCCAGCGGUUAGGCCGGGAACUCAAAGGAGACUGCCAGUGAUAAACUGGAGGAAGGUGGGGAUGACGUCAAGUCAUCAUGGCCCUUACGACCAGGGCUACACACGUGCUACAAUGGCAUAUACAAAGAGAAGCGACCUCGCGAGAGCAAGCGGACCUCAUAAAGUAUGUCGUAGUCCGGAUUGGAGUCUGCAACUCGACUCCAUGAAGUCGGAAUCGCUAGUAAUCGUAGAUCAGAAUGCUACGGUGAAUACGUUCCCGGGCCUUGUACACACCGCCCGUCACACCAUGGGAGUGGGUUGCAAAAGAAGUAGGUAGCUUAACCUUCGGGAGGGCGCUUACCACUUUGUGAUUCAUGACUGGGGUGAAGUCGUAACAAGGUAACCGUAGGGGAACCUGCGGUUGGAUCACCUCCUUA
rnacentral:rRNA from 1 species